rnacentral:rRNA from 1 species
UAACCUGCUAAAAAACCCGGCCGGCUUUUGGUGGUCGCCGGGUUUUUAGGAGGGACUUUAGCGUCUAACCGAAGGAAAUUUGAGGCCAAAACCAGUUUGGGAAGCCCUUAGAAGUUUUGGGCCGCCCGCGCGGUACCAUGACAGAACCAACGAGUUUUUUUCCUUGGCCGGAAGGUCUGGGUAAUCUUGUGAAACUUUGUCGUGCUGGGGAUAGAGCAUUGCAAUUAUUGCUCUUCAACGAGGAAUUCCUAGUAAGCGUGAGUCAUCAGCUCGCGUUGAUUACGUCCCCUGCCC